CCUAUCAGAGGGGGAUAACCCGGCGAAAGUCGGACUAAUACCGCAUGAAGCAGGGGCCCCGCAUGGGGAUAUUUGCUAAAGAUUCAUCGCUGAUAGAUAGGCAUGCGUUCCAUUAGGCAGUUGGCGGGGUAACGGCCCACCAAGCCGACGAUGGAUAGGGGUUCUGAGAGGAAGGUCCCCCACAUUGGUACUGAGACACGGACCAAACUCCUACGGGAGGCAGCAGUGAGGAAUAUUGGUCAAUGGCCGAGAGGCUGAACCAGCCAAGUCGCGUGAGGGAUGAAGGUUCUAUGGAUCGUAAACCUCUUUUAUAAGGGAAUAAAGUGCGGGACGUGUCCCGUUUUGUAUGUACCUUAUGAAUAAGGAUCGGCUAACUCCGUGCCAGCAGCCGCGGUAAUACGGAGGAUCCGAGCGUUAUCCGGAUUUAUUGGGUUUAAAGGGUGCGUAGGCGGCCUUUUAAGUCAGCGGUGAAAGUCUGUGGCUCAACCAUAGAAUUGCCGUUGAAACUGGGGGGCUUGAGUAUGUUUGAGGCAGGCGGAAUGCGUGGUGUAGCGGUGAAAUGCAUAGAUAUCACGCAGAACCCCGAUUGCGAAGGCAGCCUGCCAAGCCAUGACUGACGCUGAUGCACGAAAGCGUGGGGAUCAAACAGGAUUAGAUACCCUGGUAGUCCACGCAGUAAACGAUGAGCACUAGCUGUUUGCGAUACACUGUAAGCGGCA
rnacentral:rRNA from 1 species